rnacentral:rRNA from 1 species
UACGGAGGAUGCAAGCGUUAUCCGGAUUUAUUGGGCGUAAAGCGUCCGCAGGUGGUUUUCCAAGUCUGCUGUUAAAGCGCGAGGCUUAACCUCGUACAGGCAGUGGAAACUGGAUGACUAGAGUGUGGUAGGGGAGACUGGAAUUCCUGGUGUAGCGGUGAAAUGCGCAGAUAUCAGGAGGAACACCGAUGGCGAAGGCAGGUCUCUGGGCCACUACUGACGCUGAGAAGCGAAAGCAUGGGGAGCGAACAGG